UACGUAGGGUGCAAGCGUUGUCCGGAAUUAUUGGGCGUAAAGAGCGUGUAGGCGGCCAAGUAAGUCUGCUGUGAAAACUCGAGGCUUAACCUCGAGCUGUCGGCGGAAACUAUUUGGCUAGAGUCCGGAAGAGGAGAAUGGAAUUCCCGGUGUAGCGGUGAAAUGCGCAGAUAUCGGGAAGAACACCCGUGGCGAAGGCGGCUCUCUGGAACGCAACUGACGCUGAGACGCGAAAGCGUGGGGAGCAAACAGG
rnacentral:rRNA from 1 species